rnacentral:rRNA from 1 species
AAUCAACGCUGGCGGCGUGCCUAACACAUGCAAGUCGAACGCGAAAGUUCCUUCGGGGAUGAGUAGAGUGGCGUCCGGGUGAGUAACGCGUGGGUAAUCUACCCUCGGGUGGGGAAUAACCAAUCGAAAGAUUGGCUAAUACCGCAUAAUGCAGCGGCUCGACAUCGAGACAGUUGUUAAAGCAGCAAUGCGCCAGAGGAGGAGCCUGCGUCUGAUUAGCNGUUUGGCGGGGUAACGGCCCACCAAGGCUACGAUCAGUAGCUGGUCUGAGAGGACGGCCAGCCACAAUGGCACUGAAACACGGGCCA